AUCGAUCCUGUGGGUGCAGUUCGCCUCCUGUCCGCCCGGGGCGCUGCUCUCCGUCGCCCUCAGUAGUUCUCCUGCUCGGUGGUUUCCUCCGGAUUCAAACACCGACAUCCACACGACGCGCAGAGAGAGGCGCAGCUCGAAGGUCACAGCUGAGGGCCAUGGCUCGCGGGCACCAGAAGAUUCAGUCCCAGCAGAAGAACGCCAAGAAGGCAGCGGAGAAGAAGAAAGGUCAGGCCGCCGACCAGAAGUCUGCGGCUAUGGCGGCGCUGAUCCACACCUGCCCAGUCUGCCGGAGUCAAAUGCCCGACCCCAAGACUUUCAAGCAGCACUUUGAGAGCAAACACCCCAAGUGUGCGAUGCCUCCGGAGCUGGUCGACGUUCAGGCUUAAAGAGCCGCCGCCUGCAGCCGACCUGAACCCGGGUGAGACCAACUGACUCCUGCUGCUCCGCUCAGGAGCUUCUGAAUUCAACAUCCUCGUCUUUCAAUACACGCUGACCACAGACCUGAGCUGCUGCACCCGAAGGAUGUGGACGAACACCGGGACCGGUCGGGACUCGUGGACAUGGGGACGGGCGGAGGGAGGGAGGGGAGUCGCAGGAUGUGUGUAUGUGCUGUGUACGUACGUGUGUGUUUGCGUAAGAGAAAACAAAUAACCACGGGGCAGUAGUGCACCACCAGCCCACUUUUUUAUAUUUAUUGUGGACAACUACCUUGCUAUACCAGAUCGGGGGGGGGGGGAGCAGAACCAGCAAGAUCUCCUGCUAACACUGAAUGAAACUAUGUUGUGAUUAAUGAUGUGGAGAGUUGACAUGUCUGAAAGAGCUAUGGGGGGGGGGGGGGCACGGCUCUGCUGGGGGCUCAGCUUCAAUCGCUUUGAUUUGAUCAGAACAAACUCACGCUUUGUCCCCAUCGGGUCUCAGAGGAUUAAAAUGUGGUGAAUGUCUGAAUGUCUCCUGUCCUCUGUGCUGCUCCUCCUCCUGGGUCCUCCCUCGGUAACACCUCACCACAGAACCUCACGUUCCACCGGACUGCAACUCUCAUGGUUCAUUUCAUUCCAUUUUCACCAAAUUCUUCUACUUAUUGCUUCUUUUAGCGUCGACCACUUCCUCUGCAAUAAUCCCAUCUUUGUUUUGAGGCUCCGCUUCGUUUCACACUUGCUAACAAACACUCAGAAGUUUCCACGUGGACCAAACAUUUAGAUUUGAGUCCGUAACAGUCAAAAGAAUCUGUCCCUGUUGUUUCUGCUGAUGCUCACGAGCAGGAAAAGAAACUUCACGAAUUCGCUUGUCUGUACUUUUUUUUGUUGCCCUUUUAAAUAAAUCGAACAUGUAUUUAAAA